rnacentral:rRNA from 1 species
GACGAACGCUGGCGGCGUGCUUAACACAUGCAAGUCGAACGGAAAGGCCCUGCUCUUGUUGGUUUCUCGAUUGGCGAACGCGUGAGUAACACGUGAGUAACCUGCCCUUGACUUUGUGAUAACUCUUGGAAACUGGGGCUAAUACCGCAUAUGAUCUCCUGCUGCAUGUUGUUGGUUGGAAAGUUUCGGCUGUUCGGGAUCGACUCGCGGCUUAUCAGCUUCUUGGUGUGGUAGUUGCUGACCAAGGCUUCGACGGGUAGCCGGCAUGAGAGGGUGAACGGGGACAAUAGGACUGAGGGACGGACCAGAAGCGUACGGGAGGCAACAGGGGGGAGUAUUACAGAAUGAGGGGGAGUGAGAGGCAGAGACGCCGCGUGCGGGAUGACGGCCUUCGGGUGGUAAACAGCUGUCGACUGAGACGAAGAGGGAGUGACGGUAAUGGGUAAAGAAGCAACGGCUAACUACGUG